UCUGUUUAAAUAGCCAGGGAGUCUGGGAUGUCAAGGGGCGGGGGCAGGGGCAGGGAGCCAGUUGGCUGUGGCAAAGAUGAGGUAGAGGAGAGAUAUAACCGCCUGCCCUCACUCCCCUGGCCUCCUAUGGUUCAGGACUCCUGCCCCAAGGUCUUCUUCCCUCUGUCCCCUUAUCCCCAAAGGCUGACCAGAAAAGAACAAUGUUUCCUUUAGGGGUAGGGGAGGAAGCCAGAGACUGCCCAGAAUGAGGUAGUUAACCUCCAGGGUGAGGAUAGGAUGCUUGCCAGUGGCACUGAGAUGGGGGUGGUGAGGCAAAGCAGGUGAUCCAGCAGCUUUAGUCUUCUUGAAGGGUGGGGUGAGGGGUAGCAGCCAGGGAGGCUUGUGUGAACUGGAACAAGUUAAAGUGUGGUCUGGGAGCAAUGACAAAAACAAGAAGCCCAUCUGCCCAGCCCCUCCACUCCCUUCUGACCAUGGCUUUGUAAAGAGCAGGGGUAGUUAACCUUAGAGUCUAAUGAUCCCUAAUACUUGUAGUUCCUGAGCCCCCACCCAGCCAAGAACUGGAACUAUUCACAGUAUAAAGGAAGAAUAGUCAUAAAAACAGGAGUAUGACAUCCCUCAUUGUCUCCUGUGCCCAGUGUUGUUUUAGGGGCAGGAGUGGGGGCAAAGAUCAGGUUUAACAUCUGCUACCCAUUCUUCCAUGGAAGAAACCUUCCACAAGCCCACGGUCAUUCAAGACAAACAAAAGGAUCUCAUUCUGAUGAUGCUGUUUUGAAAUCUCCAAAGACCAUGUUCCUUCAUCACAUACUCGUCCCAAACCAUUGCAGAGGUGAGUCACCUCUAAAGGAUCACGUGGGGUACUUCCUUCCUCACAGGGACUAUAACCUUGGUGCCAGCAGCUUCCAGCCCUCACCUCUGCCCUGCCAUCCUGCCCUCUUACCUUCCCCAGCAGCUCACGCUCUCUUGACAUGAAGGAGGAAUUAGACUUGACAGAGACAUCCAGCUUUCGUCUCUGGGCCUCAUCCAGGGGGAGUUCCCACUCAAACCUGGGGUAGGACUGGAUGUUAGGGGCCAGGAGUCCUUUCCAAGCCUGCCAUCUCUCCACCUGAAUGCCCACUGACUGACCGUUCAUUAAAUUCAGGACUCAGGGUCCUCUUCUUCUGUGA